CCUACGGGUGGCAGCAGUGGGGAAUAUUGGACAAUGGGGGGAACCCUGAUCCAGCCAUGCCGCGUGUGUGAAGAAGGCCCUCGGGUUGUAAAGCACUUUCAGUGAGGAAGAACGCCUGGUGGUUAAUACCCAUCAGGAAAGACAUCACUCACAGAAGAAGCACCGGCUAACUCCGUGCCAGCAGCCGCGGUAAUACGGAGGGUGCGAGCGUUAAUCGGAAUUACUGGGCGUAAAGCGCGCGUAGGUGGCUUGAUAAGCCGGUUGUGAAAGCCCCGGGCUCAACCUGGGAACGGCAUCCGGAACUGUCAAGCUAGAGUGCAGGAGAGGAAGGUAGAAUUCCCGGUGUAGCGGUGAAAUGCGUAGAGAUCGGGAGGAAUACCAGUGGCGAAGGCGGCCUUCUGGACUGUCACUGACACUGAGGUGCGAAAGCGUGGGUAGCAAACAGGAUUAGAUACCCUGGUAGUC
rnacentral:rRNA from 1 species